GCUCACUGCAAAGAGCUGAGCCGCUGUAGUUGGUUAAUAUGUGACAUCUGAAACCUUUCGGGUUGUUCUUUAGCAAACACGCACAUCCUGUCCUUUGUGGCAUUUGUGGGUUAUUUGAUACUCUUGUAAAACUCCGCUUUGGUGUGGCAAACAAUGAAGUCCUAGAUCAGAAUGUUUGAGUCUUUCUGAGUCUUUCAGGAUUUAUCAAAUGGUGGAAGGGGGGGAACCCGUUUGUCUCCAUCCUCCUUUUCUUUUUUUUCUCUAAUCCCUCUCAAAUGCAGCUUUUAUACAAAGUGUUGAGGAACAAUUAUCUUUCCCCCUAGCAAAAUGUUACUUUUGCUCUGAAAAGUCACAUCUUCCCUAAACAAUGAGUUGAUGUUUACUUGAUUUGGGAAACAAAUGAAGGACCAUCUUUGCAGCCUGUUCCUGCGAAAUCCAGCCUCUUCCUUUCCAAACCAAGCCUUCAUCUUAAAACCUGAAGGGAUGCCUGGAGAUGCCCAGGAGUCUCCACUGGAUCAGUCACACGUUACUUGGAGAUUGGAUGGUUUGCGAUUCAGGAUGUGAAGGUGGAUCAAAACCUUAUCCAGAUAUGACUUUCUGUAGGAUGUUGACAUGGGGAUCCCUUCUGCAUGGUGGACACUCCUAAGAUGAUCUCAAAUGCCCAGGCCAAAGUUUAACAUGCUCAGAGCCAUUGGCUUCAAUCUGGCCCCUUCAAAUUUGUGAUCGUGUUGGUCUGUGGAUUGAAGGACUCGUCAUAUGUUUCGGGAUGUGAAAUUUGAAAAGGGUGUUAUUGAUUCUACACUACCGCUAGCAUCUGUUCUUGCAAAUAAAGAUACGUUGGGAAAAAAUUACAAUUGAAAAACUAGUCUUCCUGAUGUUAGAAAAAGUAAUUGGAUAACGG